rnacentral:rRNA from 1 species
UACGAAGGGGGGCUAGCGUUGCUCGGAAUCACUGGGCGUAAAGCGCACGUAGGCGGAUCGUUAAGUCAGGGGUGAAAUCCUGGAGCUCAACUCCAGAACUGCCUUUGAUACUGGCGAUCUUGAGUCCGGAAGAGGUGAGUGGAACUCCUAGUGUAGAGGUGGAAUUCGUAGAUAUUAGGAAGAACACCAGUGGCGAAGGCGGCUCACUGGUCCGGUACUGACGCUGAGGUGCGAAAGCGUGGGGAGCAAACAGG